rnacentral:rRNA from 1 species
GUGUCAGCAGCCGCGGUAAAACGUAGGACGCGAGCGUUAUCCGGAGUUACUGGGCGUAAAGGGCGGGUAGGCGGCCAGUCAAGUUGGAUGUGAAAUCUCCUGGCUAAACUGGGAGGGUGCAUUCGAAACUGAUUGGCUAGAGGACAGCAGAGGGUCGCGGAAUUCCGGGUGGAGUGGUGAAAUGCGUAGAGAUCCGGAGGAACACCAGAGGCGAAAGCGGCGACCUGGGCUGUAACUGACGCUGAACCGCGAAAGCCAGGGGAGCGAACGGGAUUAGAUACCCCUGUAGUCC